UUGAUCCUGGCUCAGAAUCAACGCUGGCGGCGUGCCUAACACAUGCAAGUCGAACGCGAAAGUCCCGCAAGGGAUGAGUAGAGUGGCAAACGGGUGAGUUACACGUGGGUGACCUGCCUUCGAGUGGGGGAUAACGUCCCGAAAGGGACUCUAAUACCGCAUAAUAUCCUGCCUUUUAAGAGGUGGAGCUCAAAGCUGGUGAUCGCAAGACCUAGCGCUUGAAGAGGGGCCCGCGCCUGAUUAGCUAGUUGGUGAGGUAACGGCUCACCAAGGCUUCGAUCAGUAUCCGGCCUGAGAGGUCGGACGGACACACUGGGACUGAGACACGGCCCAGACUCCUACGGGAGGCUGCAGUGGGGAAUUGUUCGCAAUGGGCGCAAGCCUGACGACGCAACGCCGUGUGGAGGAUGAAGACCUUCGGGUCGUAAACUCCUUUCGAUCGAGACGAAUGGCCUCCGGGUGAACAAUCCGGAGGAAUGACGGUACCGAGAGAAGAAGCUCCGGCUAACUCCGUGCCAGCAGCCGCGGUAU
rnacentral:rRNA from 1 species